ACUUACGGCCAUACCACCCUGGAAAUGUCUGAUCUCAUCUGAACUCGGAAGUAAAGCAGGGUCGGGCCUGGUUAGUACUUGGAUGGGAGACCGCCUGGCAAUACCAGGUGCUGUAAGCU
rnacentral:rRNA from 1 species